rnacentral:rRNA from 1 species
CAGCAGCCGCGGGAAUACGUAGGGUGCAAGCGUUGUCCGGAAUUAUUGGGCGUAAAGAGUUCGUAGGCGGUUUGCUACGUCGGAUGUGAAACCCUGAGGCUCAACCUCAGGCCUGCAUACGAUACGGGCUAACUAGAGUGUGGUAGGGGAGACUGGAAUUCCUGGUGUAGCGGUGAAAUGCGCAGAUAUCAGGAGGAACACCGGUGGCGAAGGCGGGUCUCUGGGCCAUUACUGACGCUGAGGAGCGAAAGCGUGGGGAGCAAACAGGAUUAGAGACCCCUGUAGUCCCUGUCUCUUAACA